rnacentral:rRNA from 1 species
ACGAACGCUGGCGGCGUGCUUAACACAUGCAAGUCGAACGAUGAAGCCUUCGGGUGGAUUAGUGGCGAACGGGUGAGUAACACGUGGGCAAUCUGCCCUGUACUUUGGGAUAAGCCUGGGAAACUGGGUCUAAUACCGGAUAUCACCAAUUCUCGCAUGGGGGUUGGUUGAAAGUUCUGGCGGUACAGGAUGAGCCCGCGGCCUAUCAGCUUGUUGGUGGGGUAAUGGCCUACCAAGGCGACGACGGGUAGCCG